CGGCGGCGGCGGCGCUCCCUGCCCAGAGCUGCCGCGGCGCCGGGAGGCUGGGGGCGGAGGGCGGCGCGGGAGGAGCGGCCCGAGCCGCAGCGCUACGGCGGCCCGGCGGGGCCUCCAGCGUUCGCCUGCAGGGCGGCGUGGGGCGUGGCGGGCCUCUGGUGGCACCGCGCCCAGCACUUCGGGCUCUUGGUGGCGGCCGAGCUGCGGGACCAGAGAUCCCCCCACUCGGCACCCCUGCUCCUGCCGAGUGAACAGGACUCCUGGCUACUCUGCACUGGCUUUCUAACUUUCUGAUGGGGGUGCAGUCCUUUGCAUUCCAGGGGUCACAGCAACACCCGCAUCGCCCGUUCUCAGCCGCAGGGUCUCCGCCUGCAUCACUCGACUCUAAAAUUUCCUUCCCUAGUGCACGGAACUGCUGUCCAGGACUCUGCUCUCCGACUACCUCAGGGAGGAUUCUGUUUUGGGAAAAAUGCUAUGUUAUGCAUUGGGGAUCAAAUAUGAAGAAGCCACAGACCCUGAGUUGAGGAACAUAAAGAUUAUGCUGGAAGACAUAAAGCACCUCAAAUCCACUGCUCACAACUGGACUCAUGUUUUUCACCGGAUUCUGACCUCCUACUAGCUGCCAAAUCUUGGAGGCAGCAAAGAAGAAAGUAAGUUGUCUGGCAUUGGUAAGUUCCGGAGAAUCAAGUGCAGAAUCACUGCAGAGGACCUAAAAAUAACCACACAUCCAAUGCAGGACACACUGGCAGAACGAAGCCUGUUACAGCUAAGGCCAAAGAAAGGGGCACAGUCACCAUCAAGCUGAAGACCAGCCUCAACUGGACGGGACAGGAAUAUCACUUAGGACUGGUAAACACUGCGGCACCAAAAUGGGUGCAUCUCAACACAAAGGAGGUAUUUUAAAUUCAAUACCAGAAGAAUCAAUUGGAGUCGGGGAGAGUUUACAGGGAAGUUUUUUUUUUUUUUUUUUUCAAAGGGGAGCUUAAUCUAUAAAGAUAGCUGACAUCACACUACAAGAUGCUCAUUAAAUACAAAAUGGUCAAUCAAAUAACAGUUUGAAAGUAACGAGAAGAAAAGGCUUCAUAAAUGAAGGGUGAAAAACUGAAAAUGAUCUCCUCAUCUUGUAUAUUCUAGUUAUUUUUAUACUUAGUUAUACUUAGAACCACCCAGAGUGACUAAUCUAACAGGGCAGGUGAAGACUAGAAAAUGUUGCCAAUUAAUCUACAUUUUCUAAUAAGAAACAUAAAUAUUUGAAAUGUUUUGUGUCACCAGGAAGAAUAUACUACUAGAUACAUGUCUAUUCUUUUUCCUAAGUAAUGCCAUUUCACAUUUCACACAGAGAUAGCCUAACAACAGUGAUUCAUUGGUUGUAUUUGCUCAUGAGAAGAAGCCAGGACAACUUUGGUAUUGUGAAGAUCUAAUCUGUAAGGAUAUUUUACCUACCAAAAAAGAAAGUACAGAUGUCUUCACUUUGCAUGGCUCUUAUAUACACAAAUUUGUUACUGCACUUUAGUUAAAUAACACCAGUCCUCCCACAGAAGUGUGAAUUUUGGUUACCACUGCUACAAAUCACUAUAUAAAUAAAAAUGAGCAUCAA
rnacentral:lncRNA from 1 species